rnacentral:lncRNA from 1 species
CACUGAAAUAAAUUCACAUCACAGAAAAGGUUCUGUAUUUGUUUGAUCAUAUUGCAUGCAUAUAAUGCUUAUUUAGUAAUAACUGCUGUGUAUUAGAUAAAGAUAAAAAUAUAUGUAAGGAUUAUUUCUAAGGAAAGGCUAAUUUCCAAAACCUUGUAUUAUAAUCGCAACAAUAACAGGAACACCCUGUUUCACCUCUGAAUCAUAGAUCACCCAGCUUUGCAAAAGUCUGAUUUGUAGCAUUUUUCUUAGUGUACUUUGAAAUUAACUAUCCAGAAAGCUCAAGGAGAAAGAAAUAUUUUGAGAUGGGCUUCAGUCAUGAGUUGUUAAUGUGGCAGUAAUUAGUGUCUACUUAAAUUUAAUUGUUAGAGAUGUAUUUGAAGUACACUAAAGAUGAUCAUGGUUCUGAAUAUCUUCAGAAAAUCUUCAAAG